CAGGUGGUAUUGCUGGCGGUUUGGAAAUUCUUUGUACAUUUCCAACAGAAUAUGUCAAAACACAAUUACAGUUGGAUGAAAGAGCUGCUGUUCCAAAAUACACGGGACCUAUAGAUUGUGCUAAGAAAACUGUGAAAGGUCAUGGUUUCUUUGGUCUGUAUCGAGGACUUAGUUCAUUAUUGUAUGGCUCCAUACCUAAAG